rnacentral:rRNA from 1 species
AGAGUUUGAUCCUGGCUCAGAUUGAACGCUGGCGGCAUGCCUUACACAUGCAAGUCGAACGGUAACAGGGAGCUUGCUCCGCUGACGAGUGGCGAACGGGUGAGUAAUAUAUCGGAACGUACCUUUGAGUGGGGGAUAACUAGUCGAAAGAUUAGCUAAUACCGCGUACGAUCUACGGAUGAAAGUGGGGGAUCGCAAGACCUCAUGCUCAUAGAGCGGCCGAUAUCUGAUUAGCUAGUUGGUGAGGUAAAGGCUCACCAAGGCUUCGAUCAGUAGCUGGUCUGAGAGGACGACCAGCCACACUGGGACUGAGACACGGCCCAGACUCCUACGGGAGGCAGCAGUGGGGAAUUUUGGACAAUGGGGGCAACCCUGAUCCAGCAAUGCCGCGUGAGUGAAGAAGGCCUUCGGGUUGUAAAGCUCUUUUGUCAGGGAAGAAA